UAGGUGCGUUCCUGGGAGAGACCUCGAGUCCACAUGGAAACAGUAGGAUCGGGCUUCCGUGUGUCCAAGGGACUUCCCCAUGAGGCCACCGAGUCCCUGGUGUGCCUAGAAAGUCACCAUUACACAUCACCCCUCACCCUUCCCGAAGGACAGUAAGGAAGCAAGAGCCUGCGAAUGGACAACCCCAUGGAGGAGGGGGCAAGGAAGGCACAGAAGCUCACAGAGAGGACAGGGAGAUGGCCUGAGAGUGAGAGAAUCUGGUACAGUCACCAUGGGGAAGCAGGUGACAGGAGAGGGGUCAGGGAGAAGCCCAAGUGAGGAGCCUCAGGCAACAGAAGGGGGUCCAAACCAAUAACGUCAAAUGGGUUUCCAUUUUUUGCCUAAUACAUUUCAGGAGUCGACUCCAAUGUUUGCUUCCACUUCCUACCCCAAAGGAAGAAGACGGCAGAGGAUAGCGGGUCCAAGGGUUUGGAAUUUAGAAAUGAUCAAUUUCCAAGUUUGGGAAAAAUCCACUAAAAAUGAGCACACAUACACUGUUUUCAUUCCAUUCCUGGCAGAGCCAACAUAUGGUCCAAAAGAGAGCUGAGUAACAGGAGGCAAAGGGAAAUUAGAGAUGAGAUCAUUUAGACAACAUCUUCAUUUUACAGAUGAGAAAACUGAGGCCUGGAGAGGGGCUCGACGUCACCAUCAAAUAACUGCAGAACCCAUGGGACUAGAACUCUGGCCCUUAACUCCCAGUCCAUGCGUCUGCUUCCCUUCUACCCGGCCUGCUAGGCUUCCUUCCACCCCAGCUGCCAUGACCGUAGUGGAGUAAAAGUUUGCCUUGGAGCGCCCUCCUCUGGCUCUGGGCAGCCACUGGCAUAGCUACAAUGUCGGCCUGGUUCUUAAACUGGAGCAGGUAACAGAAUCACCUGCCUACGGUUAAAACGUGGAUUGCUGGGCCCACCCUAGAAGUUUCUGAUUCAGUAGGUGUGGGGUGGGGCCCAGUACUUUGCAAGUCUAACAAGUUCCCAGGUGGUGGUGCCGAUCUGCUGAUUCAAAGACCCACUAUCGAGAAUCUCUGAUGUAGGCAGCGAUCUCAUGGCUCUUCCAGCAAGAUCACCUGGGUUCAAGCCCCAGCUUUGCCAUGCAUGUACUGAAACCCUGAACACAGUGUUGCGUCAUCUCUUGGCAUCUCAGCCUCUCAUCUUAUGAUGGUAACUGUAAUAACCACCCGUAAGGUGAAGGUAUAAAAUAAAUAAAUCAGAUAGCUCAGUGGGUCUGGGAAGAAGAGCAGAAGAGGGGUUGGCAAGGGAGGCCCAGGCAAGAUUCUGCAGAAUCCUGGAUGCCAGGCUGAGUUUGGACCUGAUCAUGUGUCCUUGGAAGACACGUACCUCCUCCCUGGAGGAGUCCUUGGAAAAAGCCCUAAUGAAUCCCCCAGAUGAAGAUUUAUGAGCCAAGGGCCUUCACCCCCCUCCUCAGCUCCCCCGCCCCCUCCCUGUGCCUGCCAGGAAGUCAAGCCCAGAAACUCCCAUUCUGGGCAGGGGGCCCUUGGGAAACUGGAAGGCCUGAGGAGCAACUGGGGCAGCCGCUUCCUCUUACCUUCAUCAGAGAGGUGCCGCUUUCCCAAAGGUGUCCUCCUUCCGUCUCCCGUUGGGUGUGGCAUCCUCGAGAGAACAAAAGAGUGUUAUCACAAGCUGAGAAGUUUGGGGAGGGGCGGAGGGAGGUGCAGGAGCCUGCGGAGGUGGGAGAACCAGCGCUGCGCUCAGGCAGGCAGUGCUGAUGGAAUCCGGAAUCUGGAAAGAGGCCUGGGGAGACCUACCCCUGGGGAGCCAGCCCCUGGCCUCACAGCUCCCGCUGCGGCAGGGAGGGUUUGGGAGCUGGAAGGGGCCCGUGAGGCUGUCUGCCCCAGGUGCCUCCACUAAAGGUGAAAUAACAAAACUCAGCAGUCAGGCAAACUGUCCGCAAUUGCCUGGCUGACACCUGCCCCUCUCUCCCCAUGUCUGACCCCAAGAGGCACAGUCCCGGCCUUGGGGAAACUGGUGGCCUCUGUAUCCACCGACCAACCUCCCUUGUCCUGAGUCUCUCCCAUGGUCCCCCCACCAGCCAAGUCCCUGCUCUUCUUUCAGACUCAGGAUUUUGUUUCCAAAAAGGUGGAUACAAAAAUGUGUAGAGGAGUUCCCGUCAUGGCUCAGUGGUUAAGGAAUCCAACUAGGAACCAUGAGGUUGCAGGUUCGAUCCCUGGCCUUGCUCAGUGGGUUACGAAUCUGGCAGUGCUGUGGCUAUGGUGUAGGCUAGCGGCUACAGCUCC
rnacentral:lncRNA from 1 species